rnacentral:rRNA from 1 species
UCGGGAAUCUUGCACAAUGGGCGAAAGCCUGAUGCAGCAACGCCGUGUGAGCGAGGAAGGUCUUCGGAUCGUAAAGCUCUGUUGUUGGGGACGAAGGGCGAAGGGUUAAUAGCCCCUAGCCUGACGGUACCCUUCGAGGAAGCCCCGGCUAACUACGUGCCAGCAGCCGCGGUAAUACGUAGGGGGCGAGCGUUGUCCUGAAUUAUUGGGCGUAAAGAGCGUGUAGGCGGUUCCUUAAGUCGGGUGUGAAAUCUCAGGGCUCAACUCUGAAACUGCACCCGAUACUGGGGAACUUGAGGCAGGUAGGGGAGAUCGGAAUUCCUGGUGUAGCGGUGAAAUGCGCAGAUAUCAGGAGGAACACCGGUGGCGAAGGCGGAUCUCUGGGCCUGUUCUGACGCUGAGGAGCGAAAGCGUGGGGAGCAAACAGGAUUAGAUACCCGUGUAGUCC